UCACAUUUGACCAGAUAGCUUUAAAUUUGACGCAGAUAGCCCUAUUAUAGCCCUAUUUUCUAUGAUUUCACGUCACCAUAGCUUAAUAUUUGACAUAUCGUCGAUUCAGGAUAAAACCGAGAGUUCCCUCACUCUAGUUCACUCUGGUAUUAGGUCGGUG